UACGUAGGGUCCGAGCGUUGUCCGGAAUUACUGGGCGUAAAGAGCUCGUAGGUGGUUUGUCACGUUGUUCGUGAAAACCCAGGGCUCAACCCUGGGCCUGCAUUCGAUACGGGCAGACUAGAGUUCGGUAGGGGAGACUGGAAUUCCUGGUGUAGCGGUGAAAUGCGCAGAUAUCAGGAGGAACACCAAUAGCGAAGGCAGCUCGCUGGGACGGUACUGACGCUAAGGCGCGAAAGCGUGGGGAGCGAACAGG
rnacentral:rRNA from 1 species